GCCUCCGUAGCUCAGCUGGAUAGAGCAACGGACUUCUAAUCCGUAGGUCGCAGGUUCGACUCCUGCCGGGGGCG
rnacentral:tRNA from 3 species